rnacentral:lncRNA from 1 species
GCAAGGCUCAGCUGUGGUGUCAUGAUAUGAACCCAAGCGUUGGGAUCGGACCCAAGUGGGAGCCUCGGUUGUGGCAGAUGGUAUGUUUCCAAAGAAGAUGGAGCCUCAUGUCCCACCCACAGACUCUUCUGCAGUGGAAACUGGCCACUCCCCCAACAAGAGGUGAGAAUGGCCCUGCAGCCUCCACUGGUCCUGCUGGGAAGCUCAUUCUCUGGAUGCUCACUCCUGGGACACUCCUUCUUGGGACCCAGCCACCAUGCUGGGAGAAGCCUUAGACAUAUGAAAAGGCCACAUAUGGAUGCUCUGGGUGACAGUGGUCCCAGUCCAGAUACCAACAUGUAAGUGAACAAGCCUCCAUAUGACUCCAGCCCCUAAGCCUUUCGAGUGUUCCCAGUUAAGGCUCCAGAUAUUGUAGAGCAGAGCAAAGCCAUGUCCAGGCCUGUGUCCUUUUGUGCAGCAAGAGAUUCUGGGAACACAGGGCUCUGCAAAGUGCACAACACAAAGACUUGUUCAUUCAACAGGGGAAGGACUCGGCCUUAUUAGUGGUAUCCCAAGCCCAGUGGGGCCCCUAGCUGAGGGGGCGCUGCAAAGUGGGAUCGAAGGGCUCAGUCAGGGCAGGAAAUCAAAGUGGUGGUGGUCUGUUGCUGCCUGUGUGGCCCCAGUCCUGGGGACUUGUGCAUGGAGAAGUUUGGGAUCUCCAAGUGUACUUUGACUACAGAACCCCCGACAGCCACACAGAAGCCUACAGGCCUAGGCCCCAAGUGAAUGAACACUGUGGCCACUCCCACCCCACCCCCAUCCUCCAAGAAGAAAAAGAGAAGGAGCGAAAAAGGCAGAGAGGGUACACUCUGACACUCCCUGCUGGAGAGUAGGAUGGUGGAAAUGGGGAAUAAA